rnacentral:rRNA from 1 species
CACGAACUGUGCAAACGUUAUUCGGAAUCACUGGGCUUAAAGAGUUCGUAGGCGGCACGUUAAGUCGGGUGUGAAAUCCCUCGGCUCAACCGAGGAAUUGCGCCCGAAACUGGCGUGCUUGAGUGAGAUAGAGGUGAGCGGAACUGAUGGUGGAGCGGUGAAAUGCGUUGAUAUCAUCAGGAACACCGGUGGCGAAAGCGGCUCACUGGGUCUUUGCUGACGCUGAGGAACGAAAGCUAGGGGAGCGAACGGGAUUAGAUACCCCGGUAGUCCUAGCCGUAAACGAUGAGCACUAGGUUGAGGGGACCUCCACAUCCCCUCGGCCGUAGCGAAAGUGUUAAGUGCUCCGCCUGGGGAGUAUGGUCGCAAGGCUGAA